CACUCCUACGGGAGGCAGCAGUGGGGAAUAUUGCACAAUGGGCGCAAGCCUGAUGCAGCGACGCCGCGUGGGGGAUGAAGGCCUUCGGGUUGUAAACUCCUUUCGCUAGGGACGAAGCUUUUUUGUGACGGUACCUAGAUAAGAAGCACCGGCUAACUACGUGCCAGCAGCCGCGGUAAUACGUAGGGUGCGAGCGUUGUCCGGAAUUACUGGGCGUAAAGGGCUCGUAGGUGGUUUGUCGCGUCGUCUGUGAAAUUCUGGGGCUUAACUCCGGGCGUGCAGGCGAUACGGGCAUAACUUGAGUGCUGUAGGGGUAACUGGAAUUCCUGGUGUAGCGGUGAAAUGCGCAGAUAUCAGGAGGAACACCGAUGGCGAAGGCAGGUUACUGGGCAGUUACUGACGCUGAGGAGCGAAAGCAUGGGUAGCGAACAGGAUUAGAUACCCGUGUAGUCCCAU
rnacentral:rRNA from 1 species